AACGAACGCUGGCGGCAGGCCUAACACAUGCAAGUCGAACGCCCUAGCAAUAGGGAGUGGCAGACGGGUGAGUAACGCGUGGGAACCUUCCCUGUGGUGCGGAAUAACUCGCCGAAAGGCGUGCUAAUACCGCAUAAGCCCGCAAGGGGAAAGAUUUAUCGCCAUAGGAUGGGCCCGCGUAGGAUUAGCUAGUUGGUGAGGUAAUGGCUCACCAAGGCGACGAUCCUUAGCUGGUGAGAGAAUGACCAGCCACACUGGGACUGAGACACGGCCCAGACUCCUACGGGAGGUAGCAGUGGGGAAUCUUGGACAAUGGGCGCAAGCCUGAUCCAGCCAUGCCGCGUGAGUGACGAAGGCCUU
rnacentral:rRNA from 1 species